AGUUGAGACGGCAUUUCACCAUGUUGGCCAGGAUGGUCUCCAUCUCCUGACCUUGUGAACCACCUGCCUCAGCCUCCCAAAGUGCUGGGAUUACAGGCAUGAGCCACCAUGCCCGGCGGUGAGCAGCAUUUUAGAGAAGCCUGGUGAGUGUUGGAGCUGUCCUCUCCCGUGGAAACUGUCUCCAGAGGUUAGGUGCCCCACGGAGCACCAUGUCUUGGGUUCGUCAGUUCUUUUACCAGUGUACCCCCAGGGACACCAUGGCCUCUCACAAAAACCCAGCCAGACGACAGCAAUAGAGCCCAGCAUGGAAUCCACCUGCACAUGGCAUCUUAGCUGCGAAGAAGUAAGCAGUGCACAAGAAGGAAUGAGUGGGCAGAACCAAUGGCCUCCACAAGCUGCCUUCCAGCAGCCUGCCAAGGCCAUGGCAGAGACUACAAACAAACACAAGCAAACAGUCUCUUCACGGCUGGAGUCUGAAAGGUCAUAGUGGCAUGUGUGUAUUUGACAAAAUUAAAAGUGUGCAUAGUCCAUUACAUGCAUAAAACACUAACAGUAAAAAUCCUGUUUACAUGUGACUGCAGCAGGCAGGUAACCAGCUUCACCACUGCCCUCCUGCCACAUCACAUCAAGUGCCAUUGUUAGAGGGUUUUUCAUAUGUAAUUCUUUUAUUCUGUAAAAGGUAACAAAAUAUACAGAACAAAACUUUCCCUUUUUAAAACUAAUGUUACAAAUCUGUAUUAUCACUUGUAUAUAAAUACUAUAUAGCUGAUCAUUAAUAAGGUGUAUAAGUACAACAAUGUAUUCUAACUGUUAAGCAAAAAACCCUAAAAAAAAAA